GUUCUAAAAAAAAACAGUGAAUCCGAAGCAGGAUUAUCUUUUGCAAAACAAGAAAUUGAUGUUAGAAAUGUAGAUCUAUUAAUACAUUCGGCAAAAGAAAAACCCUCCUUCAUCGAGAAUGAAUCGGAUGAUUCGGAUUAUUCAUGUUUGCAUAUUAAUAACAUACCACCAAUUACGUCUUUUAAAUUAAAACAAUUGGGUGAAAGAGCCCAAGCGAUAAGAGAGCUCGCUUUAUAGUCGAACGAUUACAAAAUUUGCAUGAAUCAUUUGUCGCUCGUCCAUCAGAGAAUGAAAAAGCAAAGAAUCGAAGAGAGUCAAACGUAUUACUAAUGUUACACCAGCAACAUAUUCUUGUAUGCUUUUGUGGAGAGAACAAUAAAGACCGGCUGGUAUUGUGUUAAAGCUGAUGAUAUGGAUUUAGGUAACAUUGACUAUAAUAUCUUUCAUUGUGACUCUUGCUCAGAAAGAUUCAAUGAAUGAAAGCGAUGACAAUAUGAUGACAAAUGGAGCAGUCGUAGAGAUUGUAAUCGAAGAGAUCGUAAACCUUUAUAUCAUAAAGGUGAUAUUCUAGUAAUGUGUCCUGCACCUUUAUUGCUUCAAUGAGAUAAUGAAGUGUGAAGCAGCGCGAUCUGUUGUUAAGAUCAUGGCAGAAAUCGAGGGAGUUCUUAAAUAUUUAUCAAAAAGUAAUGUAGUUGUAACUACAUACAUACAAUAUAUUAAGUCGAGAACGUAAAACCAAGUCUGCAAUAUAUAAGAUUAAUUGGAAAAGAGAUACUCGAUGAAGCUCAUGUAAUAAGAAAUCAUGAGAAUCAAGCAUCGUUAGCAGUUUGCAAACUUAAAGCAAAGAAACGAUGGAAUCUUACUGGCACAUCUAUAUAAAAUGAAACAUUAGAUUUGUACUCUAUUUUAAAGUUUUUAAAGUGCUCGCCA